UUCUUGUCCAAGUGAAGUGAGCACCACUGCUGCAGAGAGAGAGAUCGAGAUGGCAGCGUCCAUGAUCACGUCGCCUCUGGUGGCGCCGACGAGCCUGCCGUCGCUGUCGCGGCGGGGCUCCAACUUCGCCGUCGUCUGCAGCGGCGGCAAGAAGAUCAAGGUCGACAAGCCCCUCGGUGAGAGCUAUAUACCCAGCCAGGCUUCCCGUGACAUCUUUGUUUAAUACUCCCUCAGUCCAUUCAAAUUUAACCAAAUAUGAAUGCAUUUACGUCUAAAAAAUGCUAGAUACAUCUAACAAUUUUGUCCAAAUAUGAUUGUAUUUACGUCUAAAAAAUGGUUAAAUACAUCUAAUAGAAAGUUACUUAAUAUGGGACGGAGGGAAUACUCUCUUCGAUCCUAAAUUGUUUUCAUUAUUUUAGUUCAACGGGGGAGUAUUAAUCAAUCCGAUGUGAAUUCAUUCUUGGUUUGGUUUGGUUUUAUUAAUCAUCCAAUGAGACUAAUUGUUUGUUUUUGUGCAGGGAUCGGAGGUGGCUUGACGGUGGACAUCGACGCCAACGGCAGGAAGGGCACGGUUAGAUUGAUGCUUCCCAAACACUUCCUCUCUUUUUUCUUGUUACACGUACACCUGCACAUGUACUGUGUGUGCGAGUUCACUAUACAGACAAACUAGCUAGCUAGAAACAAAUAGAUUUUGUGGAUAGUUUGCAAGUUCGCAUAUUACUACUUCAAAUAUACACGAUUUUGAACAAGCGGUCAGUGAAUUGGUCUGACCGUAAAAUCUUCUUCUCUUCAUGCAGGGAAAGGGUGUGUACCAGUUUGUUGACAAGUACGGCGCCAACGUCGACGGCUACAGGUAAACUAUAUACGUACUCCUGAGAUGUAUAUGAGCCAGAUCCGGAUUUUUUUUUUGAGAAUAAGAGCCAGAUCCGGAUGAAAGAUUAGUACGGAGUACUUAAUUUGGCCCAUCCUUAGUAAUCUUGUGGCCCAUUUGCAGCCCGAUCUACACGCCGGAGGUAUGGUCCGAAUCUGGCGACCGCUACGCCGGUGGUGAGUAAUUUCACAUUACCCUCCACAUGCCUAUAUAUAAGUAGAAUUAUGGAUUCGCUCAAAAAAAAGUAGAAUUAUGGAUUAAAAUGCAUGUGUUUAAACGUUGUUUGUUUAAGAGCAUCAUCAGCAGCUUGUGUGAAUUCGGUUGUCUAUAUCUCAAUAUAGACAAUGGUCUAAAAAGAUUCUCUUUUAAAAUGUUACAAUCCUUCAGCAGCUUGUCUAUAUGCAAGUCGUUUAUAUUCUCUUUACUAUCUUCAUACCUAGUGGGCAUUUGGACAUCGUGACUGGAUCGUCUAUAUACAAAAAUUGUGGACAGAAAUUUGGACGAUGUCUAAAUUUAGACGAGCACGUAGACAAGCUGUUGGAGCCUUACUUUGUACUUUGGUCGUCUAAAUGGCACAUAGACAACCAUAUACACAGGCUGCUGAGGAUACUCUUAGGCUCAGUUUGAAGUUGCUAAACUGUCAUGUGCUGAAUUUAUUUUUGUAACUUGUACACACAAAACUAAGAAAAAGUUUGUUAACCAAACUGAAUUAUUUUGUGAUUGCCUUAAGAGUUGGAAACUCUUGCUCGCAAGAAAACAGUACUACCUCUAAUACUAAAUUCUUGUCGUUAUUUUAGUGCAAAUUUAAACUAAACCAACGACAAAAAUUUAGGAUCGGAGGGAGUACUAUUCGGAGAUACCUAUGAAGUAGUAGCAGAGGAUGCAUGAGAGUAACAAGGGCUUCAUUAGCACCUGAUAUUUAUUUGUUUUACCGUACAUAUCUUAAAAUAGUGUACAACUUUACAAAGUGACGUACAGAAUAUAACAAGGGGUUUCCCAAAACUUAUCAUGAUUCCUUAGAACAAGAAGAUUAGCGCUAUUGGAAUAAGAUACACAGAAAAAUUAAGAUUACACCUUUGGAUUAGUAGAUCAUUUAAAAUAAAAACUCUAGUUCAAAUUCAGUGUAUCGAUCCAAACAAUUAAGUCUUACUCCCUCUGUUCCUGAAUUCCUGAUUCAAAUUUGUCCAAAUAUGGAUAUGCAUCUUUUCUUAAAAAACGUCUAUAUACAUGUAAUAUUUCGACAACAAUUUAGAAUCGGAGGGAGUACGUGGCAACUGAAAUGAGCUACCAUAAAUUAGGGUUUUUAUGAUAUCCGGGUGGACAUGCACCUUUGGAAUUAUUUGUCGAAUAUAUAUGUUGCAUUGCUAACUCGAUCUUGCAUGUCCGUGUUAUAAUUCGCAGGGACGACGGGGCUCCUGAUCUGGGCCGUCACCCUGGCCGGCCUCCUCGGCGGCGGCGCCCUCCUCGUCUACAACACCAGCGCUCUCGCCGGCUAAUUAAGAAUCAAGUCAUCUCAUUCUCAUCUAUGCAAUUGCAAACACAACACAGGGCCGGGUAUCUCUCUGCAUGUACGUAUGCCUGUAAUGUACGUAGCUACCUGCUGUGAAAUGUACGUAUGUGAUCGAUGAUGCCAAGUACUUGAUCGAAACGCAUCGCUUAAUUUUAUGUAUGUAUAACACUUGCUACUACGUACACACUUCCUACUUUGGGAUUAUCAUUGAUGCAAACAUACUUUUUUUUUGCUAGAAAACAUAUACUUUAAUUAGACUAUAAGUUUGGCC
rnacentral:lncRNA from 1 species